CACUAUCGUUAACUGAAUACAUAGGUUAACGAGGCGAACCGGGGGAACUGAAACAUCUAAGUACCCCGAGGAAAAGAAAUCAACCGAGAUUCCCCCAGUAGCGGCGAGCGAACGGGGAGCAGCCCAGAGUCUGAAUCAGCUUGUGUGUUAGUGGAACGGUCUGGAAAGUCCGACGGUACAGGGUGAUAGUCCCGUACACCAAAAUGCACAGGCUGUGAACUCGAAGAGUAGGGCGGGACACGUGGUAUCCUGUCUGAAUAUGGGGGGACCAUCCUCCAAGGCUAAAUACUCCUGACUGACCGAUAGUGAACCAGUACCGUGAGGGAAAGGCGAAAAGAACCCCGGCGAGGGGAGUGAAAAAGAACCUGAAACCGUGUACGUACAAGCAGUGGGAGCACCUUCGGGUGUGACUGCGUACCUUUUGUAUAAUGGGUCAGCGACUUAUAUUCUGUAGCAAGGUUAACCGUAUAGGGGAGCCGCAGGGAAACCGAGUCUUAACUGGGCGUUAAGUUGCAGGGUAUAGACCCGAAACCCGGUGAUCUAGCCAUGGGCAGGUUGAAGGUUGGGUAACACUAACUGGAGGACCGAACCGACUAAUGUUGAAAAAUUAGCGGAUGACUUGUGGCUGGGGGUGAAAGGCCAAUCAAACCGGGAGAUAGCUGGUUCUCCCCGAAAGCUAUUUAGGUAGCGCCUCGUGAAUUCAUCUUCGGGGGUAGAGCACUGUUUCGGCUAGGGGGUCAUCCCGACUUACCAACCCGAUGCAAACUACGAAUACCGAAGAAUGUUAUCACGGGAGACACACGGCGGGUGCUAACGUCCGUCGUGAAGAGGGAAACAACCCAGACCGCCAGCUAAGGUCCCAAAGUCAUGGUUAAGUGGGAAACGAUGUGGGAAGGCACAGACAGCCAGGAUGUUGGCUUAGAAGCAGCCAUCAUUUAAAGAAAGCGUAAUAGCUCACUGGUCGAGUCGGCCUGCGCGGAAGAUGUAACGGGGCUAAACCAUGCACCGAAGCUGCGGCAGCGACACUAUGUGUUGUUGGGUAGGGGAGCGUUCUGUAAGCCUGCGAAGGUGACCUGUGAGGGUUGCUGGAGGUAUCAGAAGUGCGAAUGCUGACAUAAGUAACGAUAAAGCGGGUGAAAAGCCCGCUCGCCGGAAGACCAAGGGUUCCUGUCCAACGUUAAUCGGGGCAGGGUGAGUCGACCCCUAAGGCGAGGCCGAAAGGCGUAGUCGAUGGGAAACAGGUUAAUAUUCCUGUACUUGGUGUUACUGCGAAGGGGGGACGGAGAAGGCUAUGUUAGCCGGGCGACGGUUGUCCCGGUUUAAGCAUGUAGGCUGGUUGUCCAGGCAAAUCCGGAUAAUCAAGGCUGAGGUGUGAUGACGAGGCACUACGGUGCUGAAGUAACAAAUGCCCUGCUUCCAGGAAAAGCCUCUAAGCAUCAGGUAACAUCAAAUCGUACCCCAAACCGACACAGGUGGUCAGGUAGAGAAUACCAAGGCGCUUGAGAGAACUCGGGUGAAGGAACUAGGCAAAAUGGUGCCGUAACUUCGGGAGAAGGCACGCUGGUGUGUAGGUGAAGUCCCUGCGGAUGGAGCUGAGACCAGUCGAAGAUACCAGCUGGCUGCAACUGUUUAUUAAAAACACAGCACUGUGCAAACACGAAAGUGGACGUAUACGGUGUGACGCCUGCCCGGUGCCGGAAGGUUAAUUGAUGGGGUUAUCCGUAAGGAGAAGCUCUUGAUCGAAGCCCCGGUAAACGGCGGCCGUAACUAUAACGGUCCUAAGGUAGCGAAAUUCCUUGUCGGGUAAGUUCCGACCUGCACGAAUGGCGUAAUGAUGGCCAGGCUGUCUCCACCCGAGACUCAGUGAAAUUGAACUCGCUGUGAAGAUGCAGUGUACCCGCGGCAAGACGGAAAGACCCCGUGAACCUUUACUAUAGCUUGACACUGAACAUUGAGCCUUGAUGUGUAGGAUAGGUGGGAGGCUUUGAAGCGUGGACGCCAGUCUGCGUGGAGCCAACCUUGAAAUACCACCCUUUAAUGUUUGAUGUUCUAACGUUGGCCCCU
rnacentral:rRNA from 1 species